AGAUGUCUUGCAGUCAAAAAUAAUGCUGGAUUGUUGUUCGACCUUAUAUUUUCUGCUGAAGCUCCAUGACGGUCGACACGUAUAAUACCUCUCUUGGAACCUAUUUGUACAUGUUCAAAGCAUGAAACCCGAAGUUGACGAACAGAGAAAAAAUCAUAUCUUGGGAUAUGCCGAUAUUGAUCGAUACAUCUGUUGAUCUUUGAAUAAGAGUUUUGGUAACUCAGCCAAUCCCUAGCUGGAACCUUUUAACCGUCUUGGUGCUGAUUCAUCAUGAUCCAAUCCUGACCUCUCCCUUCUCAUCGACUCAACUUCACA